rnacentral:rRNA from 1 species
ACGGAGGGUGCAAGCGUUGUUCGGAAUCACUGGGCGUAAAGCGCGUGUAGGCGGCUAUCUAAGUCUGAUGUGAAAGCCCUGGGCUUAACUCAGGAAGUGCAUUGGAUACUGGAAAGCUGGAGUGCGGUAGAGGAGGGUGGAAUUCCCGGUGUAGCGGUGAAAUGCGUAGAGAUCGGGAGGAACAUCAGUGGCGAAGGCGGCCCUCUGGACCAGCACUGACGCUGAGGCACGAAAGCGUGGGGAGCAAACAGGA